UUCUGCCUAGUGGAAGAGUUCUUGGUGGAGUCAAAAGUUGGCUCCUGAUUUUGUGACAUAUUUGUGGGUCCUAAGAGUAGUAUGGCCUUACUGUGAUCCCCCCCCUCCCCAAUGGACCAACACAACUGCAUGUGUUCUUGUGUUUUACGGAGAUGUUUUAAAAAAUGAUGUUUCAGGAUUGGUCCAUCUAGUUUGGUAUUAUGGACCCUGACUGGCAGCACCUCUGCAAUUGGAGAUGCCGGUGAUUGAACCUAAGACCUUCUGCAUUCAAAGCAGAUGCUCUCUGAGUUAAUUGUCCUUCACCUAAAAAUAAGAGAGCUUGCAGUGCUGUCCCUGCGAGAGCAUUGGCCGCUCAGGAACUCCUCUUUGCCUGACUCCGUACACAGCUUUAGAUUCCAGCCUGCACUUGGGGCCCUCGCAGAGACUCUAACACUUUUGCAGCCUGCGGAAAAACAGAGUCAAGAGGCACCAAGGAGGGACAGUGAGAUACCUGGCAGGUGCCAGCCUGAUGCCAGAGACACAGCCGGCCCCCAAAGCCACCCUUAGCUUGGAGCAGGAGAGGCUAAUUGUCAGCUUACGUAUUCGUUUAUUUGAAGAGGGUUUUUUUACUCUGCUCUGUUGAAAAGGC